GAGAGCCUGGCUAGGCAGGCUGGAAACAGUAGCUCUUAACGGUCCCCCGCCCGUUGGUGGCAAGGCGGCUGGACUGGAAUCCCAGCAGGCGACAUGCGAGGAGGCGGGCAGCCCAGGAGGGUUGGACACGGCAAUGUGGACCUCGCCGCUUCCACAACGAUGCUGGCUACUGAUCGCGUGCACUUCCUUGCCAAAGAAAGUGAGUCCGGAGAGGGACAGGAGGGGCAGGUCCGGGCUGGGCAGUGAGGAGGGCGUGACGCCGCGAUGUACACCUCGCCCUUGUCAAACUGGGACGGGUGUAGUCCUCACCCCACUUCCCGCUGCUCAGCUGGGUUCCCUCUCCCACCUGUACCCAGGGUCUUUCCUGGCCAUCGCGCCUCCUGCAGCCCAGGGAGCCACCGGCUUUCCUAAGCUGCUGUGGGAACUGGCCUGAGGUCCAGGCGCUGUCCAUUGUGCCGCUGCCCUCUUUUCUCUCCAGCCAGAGCGCAGUUCCGCCGCUGUGGGGAGAAAUCCGCCGCCUGGCCCGCCAGUGCACAAGUUCAGAGCUUUGCACGGGGUGACAUGGGCUGUGGCUUCGUGAAAAUGUCACCCUCACCAGCGACUUUUUCGCGGAUGUGGAUAUUGAGGGGGCAGGGAGGGCCAUUAUUGGCUUACCCAGGAGAUGCUAAAAGCAGAGGAGAAAAUUUCAGUUCCCAGGCGUGUGUCUCUGGUGCGCCAUUUUUCACCAACCCAUUUGGUAGAAAGUCCCCCAAAUAGCUACCUAAAGAUUAGGAUGGUUUAGGUAUUUUACACGUGAUAUCAUUGGCCUCAUCUCAACAAAUGUCUGACUGGCCAGUGUCUCAAACACAGAUGGCAGCCUGAUCCUCAGGAACAGGUGGUGCUCCAGCUUUGUGGGAGCGACUUUCAAGGUGUGGACCAUUUGGGGAGUCUUUGUAACUCCUCAGGCUUCACAUCUUUGCUUUGAAUGGAAAGCUCAUCACCCCCCGGCACUCCCGGAGGUACCUUUACUCUCUCGGGCUGAUCUGUUGACCUUUUCUGUCUAGACAAUGGGAACUUCUGGGAUCACUUCUAGUUUCGUGUAAUUGAUGUCCCUAAUUUCCAUAUGUCCCCAGGGACAGUCCCUUUGAUUCUGGAAUGGCGCCAGCUUUUAUGCUUUUUAUGUCUAAUCCGUAAAAACCAAGGUGUUCAUCUACAUGAAAAUAAGACCUUGUUCGUAUCGCACGUUCCAACAGGCUUCAUUUGUGAUUCCUGAAUGUGGAUUACCAUAAAAAAAAACCCUAAAAACCCUGGUCAUGGAUAUUAGACACUGUUAUUGUACUUUGUGAAGAAUUUACUCCUUCAGGAUUAAUUGCACACGGGCUCAUCAGCACCUUUGUCAAUAAAGGAACAAGAACCAUGUGGUGUCUAUGGAUGUGGUGAGAUGAGGAAGAGCCACAGCGCAGCGGUUCUUCUCUUGUUUUCAAUAGAGUCUGUGGGGUCAAGUACCUGCGUUUCUCCCCCAUCCCCCAAUAUUCUCAUUCCACUCCUGAGUGUUCCGUCUUUAGGUGGAAGUUUCUAAAUACACUUGUCCGCAAGUGUUGGUGGGGAUGUUGUAACGUGAGGGCAUCCAUCAUCCAUCACCUUAAAGAUAAAUGGAGAGGAUUUUGUGGUCUGUGUUCAAGAGGCACUGCUGUUGGGUGUGUUGCUGCCAAAACACGUGAUCUCAGCUGUCCCCAGCAGCUGUCUUAGAAGAUUGGUCCUGAUGUAGCCACAGCUGCUGUUCACAGAGCCAGGAGCUCUUUGCAGUUUGGUGUAUUCUGCUGAGAUUUAUGGCUCCGACCCUCCUCUGCUCUGCCAUUCCUGGUAGUAACUGCUCAGCUGCCUGGUUUGCUCCAGUGUCCUGGGACCCUGUUAUGUAACUGCAUUUCAGAGGGUCUUAAGAGAUUCUACCCUCACUACACCAGUCACUCUACACUGGCCGUGCACUUAGCUUCUUGGAGCCCUGCUUGUGUCCUCUUAAGUGGAGCUGUGAAGAGUUCUAGUUAGGGAUAGAUCUCGUUCUUAUGCGCUUCAGGCUUAUUAGAAAGCUGAUCAUCUCGUCUUUGGACACAUGGACAUUGUUACUUUUGUGUAUUUUGAAGUCCGAUGCUGUUUUUUUUUUAAAUAAAAAAAAAAUGUGGACCCUAGCAGUAACAGUCACUUUUAAAUAUCUUUGUGAAUUUAACUCUGGCAACAACUCGAUGAUGUUGGCAUGCAAUCCCCAUUUUAUAGGUGUGGAAACUGACACUCAGAGAGGUAGAGUAGCUUUAUUUACUUCACACAAGCUUUUGAUGAAUUUCAAGUCUCAACCUAGAAGUCUUCCUCUAGGGCAUGAUCAUGGCAUAUUCUACUUUGUUUCUCUGCCAGCAUCCCAAAGGGGUCCACAUCUCAUUAGGACUCCAUUUUCUUAAUAACAGGAAAUUUGCAGAAACAGGCCUUUUUGGGGGAGAGCACUCACUGGGACUUGGCCUUCCCUGUCCUCCACCUUCCCCUUGGCAGAGCAUAGGUGAUUUGAGGGAGCUGGAGCAGCGGUACCUUACCUGGAACACUUGUUAUGUAAAGCCCUCACCUGGAACGCUUGUUGUUAUGUAAAGAUAACUACCUCUCACUUUUUUAGGUGUGAUUUUUUUUCUUCUAAUUAUUCCUCUGGGCUUUCUCUUCUAGAUUUGUGCUGUGCACUAACAUGCAAUACAAAUACUGAUGAAAAUAAAACUAUUGCCCUCCUACCAAAUGAGAAAUUAAUGUUAUGACUGGAUGAAGACAAUUGUGAAGAAACUGCACUUUGAGGUUGUCUAUCUCUGUAUUCUGAUGGAAAAGCGUGGAGUUUAGAAGCACUGCUCACUCCUUCAGUUUCUAACAACAUCUGCACCGUGUUUUAUAUUUCGGACUAUGCUGCAUUUCAUCACAAUAAAUUCCUCUAGCUGUUUGGGGUGACAUAAACUACUGAAAGAGUGACUCCAGAAAGUGCUGCCAUCAAUAUCUGCAACUUGUAGGGUGUUUGGAUCAAUGAGGUGAAUGGCACUGGUUAUUCGAAUACACACACAAAUCUGGUUCAUAUUUCCCAGGCUUUGUGUCAGUUUUGGAGACAGACAGACAACAUAAUCCUGGCAUAUUGGAACAAUUUCCACAGAAAAAGUGCUUUUGUAAUUGUAUGUAUUACUAUGGACAUCCUGAGAGAUCAGUCUUUGGGAUGCGUUGUAUCUACAGGGAACUGUAUACUGAAUAAAUUCGACCAUCUUCUGAGCAUGUGGUUUUGAGGAAUAAUAAAAAUCCAGACCAUCAUGAAUCUCUUUGAUACGAAGUGUAUUCUGAUGCCUUCCAUAUUUCAGAAUUAACUGUUCCAGAUAGUAGAAAGCUUUUUUGUGCAAAGUCUUUUGCCUCACUUGAAUCACAGCCCUCCAGAAACCCUUAGCUUCUACUCUAUGGCAAUCUCCACAUAUUUGGGACUGAACAGCAUAAUCCACCACAAACACUUGUUGAAGGACAGCACCAUUCAUCACCUCUUUCUGGAGUCAGUUUAACUUUAAAUCUCUUAGAAUGGGGCUCAGUCCAAACAAAGCCUGCAUUCACAAGCCGUUCCUUACUCAGAGGGGCUUUGAACACAAAGCAAGAAGUUCCCUGGAUUCUAAAGCACACCGUAUCCAAGUUCCUGGUGGCUGAAAAUACCUUUGACAUUGUUUGUAGAACAAAAGUGAGACUUGUUUUGGAAUAUCUUGGCUGAUGCCCACUUUACUUUGCAAACAGGCCACACAAAUAUUGGCAGGAUUGGGACUUAUUGCAAUACCACACUCACAGCACAGGAUGAGUCCAGGGCUGCGGUCAGUCGAUUCUGUCAUAUACUCCAUUGUUCUGUAUGCUUCACACCUCCAGACCAGCCCUGGAUUUGCUGAAAACCUGCAACAAAAUAGACCCCGGCUGUCCUGUCAGCUGCCACCAUGGCCAUCUUCACCACAGCGAAGAUCUCACGAAGUGGUUGUUUUUUAUGGUUUCUAUUUAUCUAUUAAAAUAAUUUUUUAAAUAUAGGUGGGGUCUUGCUCUAUUGGCCAGGUUGGUCUUAAACUCUUGGUCCCAAGCAAUUCUCCAGCCUCAGCCUCCCAAAUUGCAGUUAGCACAGGUGUAAGCCAACAUGAUCAGCCUAUUUAUUAUAAUUCUCAUUUUGUUUCUGUGUCAUUUCAUAACAUUUUUAGUUAUCUAUUGGUGUUCUUUUGGAUUUUAUUGAAAUCUCUUGAUGAUUAUUUUUAAUUCUAUGUUGGCCAAUUCUGAGAUCUCCAUUUCUUUGCAGAUUUUUACUAGAGCUUUAUUAGUUUCUUUGGGUGAUGUUCAUGAUUUUCAGAUUCUUUAAGAUCUGUGCAGGCUUAUGUCUGUGUCCCUGAAUAUGAAGGAGUAAACACAUCUUCCACUAAUCAUAGGAGAGUUUUGAAAGAUAAAUACUUUCUCCUAUUGGGUCCCUGGGCUGAUGAGAUUUUAAUUGACAUUGCAGUUGAGUUUGUUGGAGCCAGGUCACAUAAUUGCUACUUGGUCUUUAGUGGGUUUCGUGGUUGGCAGACCCGUUAUUAACACAUAAGACAGUUAUAAAUUCUGUCUGUUCCCUGGAAGAGUCAACUUUCUUUUUUUUUUUGAGACGGAGUCUCGCUCUUUUGCCCAGGCUGGAGUGCAAUGGCACUAUCUCGGCUCACUGCAAGCUCCGCCUCCAGGUUCACGCCAUUCUCCUGCCUCAGCCUCCUGAGUAGCUAGGACUACAGGCGCCCGCCACCGCGCCCGGCUAAUUUUUUGUAUUUUUAGUAGAGAAGGGGUUUCACCGUGUUAGCCAAGAUGGUCUUGAUCUCCUGACCUCGUGAUCCGCCCGCCUCGGCCUCCCAAAGUGCUGGGAUUACAGGCGUGAGCCACCGCGCCCGGCCAAGAGUCAACCUUCUUUAGAAUAUCGAUUAUCAGGACUAGUGCUGAGAUAAGAAAUUGCAGUUGUUUCUGCAUAUGGGGUGCUGGUAGAAUAGAUGUAGACAGGUGUGGCUCCCACUAGGUCUCUGGGAGUGCGCUAAUCCAGUUAUUAGACAGCUUACUGGAUGGGCAGUACUGACCCCUAAUCAAAGCUGAGAGCCAUGGGAACUAAUUUAUAGGGCUGCUUCAGGAUACACGAGUGAGGCUAAAUUCUUCAGUUCUGUCUCUGGGUCCAUGGUGUAUUUCCCUCCAGGUUUCUGGGUGGGUAGGACUGCUCCCAGACACUGGCUGACUGGGAUUAGAACUGGGUUACAGGGCUGCUUUAAGAUUCACAGUGAGACUGAUGUCAGCAGGCCUGCCUAGAGGGGCACUGAUUUAUGAUUUUAGGCAAAUCUCAGGUUGAGCAAAACUGCUUUUGAACUGUGCCUGCAUGAAACUAGAGCCCAGCGCCGUUUCUGUUUUCUUUUCUUUUCUUUUUCUUUCUUUUUUUUUUUUUUUUUUUUUUUUUUUUUUUGACAGUCUUGCUCUGUUACUCAGGCUGCAGUGCAGUGGUGGGAUUUCGGCUCACUGCAAACUCUGCCUCCUGGGUUCAAGUGAUUCUCCUGUCUCAGCCUCCCGAGUAUCUUGGACUGCAGGUGCCCGCCACCACCCUGGCUAAUUUUUUGUAUUUUUAGUAGACACAGAGUUUGACCAUAUUGGUUAGGCUGGUCGAACUCCUGACCUCAGGUGAUCCACCCACCUCAGCCUCCCAAAGUGCUGGGAUUACAGGUUUAAGCCACUGUGCCCAGCCCAACCAUUUCAUGAUCCACAUUCAGUUCAAUAUUGAUUGUCCUACAUCCAAGGAAAUAGAUGGAUGUUUUUCCCUGAGGGUCCCUGUGUGGACAAGAUUUCUCCCUGACCAUGCCUGAGAAGUAAAGAAGGUGAGUUUUGUCUGAUUCAGGGACUACAGACAGAACCAAGUUUUGCAGGCCUGUCACCUAAGUCUCAGGUGAGUAUCAAUUCUCCUGGGUUUUUGGCAGAUGGUUGCAGUGGCAGGACCAAGGCCUAGUGAGCUAUAGCUAAAUCUACAGUGGGAUGUGGCAGUAUUUUGUUUUGGAGCUGGGACCAUGAUUGGCAAGCACGCCACUUGGCCAAGGGCUUACUCUCUCAAAUUGUUCCCCUUGGUCUUUGCCUCCAGCUGUCACAAACUGACCUGGAUCCCAAGGCUCUUAUAAAUGCAGUUUUGUUUGGCAUGGCUUCCACAUUCUGUUGUGGGAUAUGCCUGCAGGACCUCCUGUUCCAUCAUCUUGCUUAUGUUACUCUCCUAUACACUUCACUUUCUGAAAUGAAUGUUGUUUCUGACUUUUAGAUUCAAAAGUUACACAUUAUGUAAGAUGUAAAUUAAAUUACCAGUAGGUGCCCACAUAUUUAUUAAAAUAUUUCAUUAUAAUUUUAAGCUCACUGA
rnacentral:lncRNA from 1 species